UCCAUCACGUCCAUGCUCUCGCACAGCCCGCUCUUCCUAGCUAACACUGCAGGCCAGUCUAUUCUUGUAUCCAGAAAUUAAGCCCCACAGCUAUGGGCACAAGAGGAACUCCCAGGAGCCAGUGCAUUUCAUUCAUGCAGCACUCAAAACACUGGCAUUUAUUUAUAUAUAAAUGUUAGAUGCCUGACCUUUUUGGCUGCUGGAUCACCUAACACUGGUCACAGUGGGUUUAUGUGCUGGUCACAGAAUUUUUAUUCCUGUUUUGAGACGGAGUUUUCCUUGACCCCUGGGAUAACAGCUAGCUAUGCCGCCAAGCGCCGGAGCACAGACUAGCUGGCAGCCAGCCAGCUCCCAGCAAGAGAGGUUCUUGCAGGAAAAUCCGUCUGCCAGCAGCAAUCCAGCACCCGAGGAGACACAGCCUGCCUGGUACCGCGAGACCUGCACCAGAACCUCCCCUUGCCUUUCCAUCCAGACCAGGGUGGUUGUCUCCAGCAGCACCCCUGUUGCCUUUUUGAUGUGCAAAAAACCUGACGGGGCAUUUUCCAGACUGAAGGCUGAGAAGGGCCAAAGGGCUGCAGCCACCCUCCCGGGUCCGGCGGGACCACCCAGCAGCACCAGGCUCAUGGUGCAAACAGAAGAUGCUGGUCAUCCAGGGGCUUUUUGAUGUUUUUGGGAUGGAACAAAGCCACCACGAACUCCAGCAACAAGUCCUUGCCCUGGUGCUGUUGCAUGCUGCAGCGGCCAAGCAGCCCCCCAAGGACCCCCAUGUCCCUCCAGAAGACACCCCAACAGCCAGGGGAGCUGUGCUGGUGCCCCGCUGCCACAGCUCAGCCAGGCUGCCGGGGGAACACUGCAGGCUGCUGCUGUGUUUGGGGAGGCUGAGUCCAGACAUCGAGAGUUUUGCCAAAUAACCUCAGUUUGCAGCUUUGUUUCUCAUGAAGAAUUGCCCAUCUGCUUCCUCACAGGUGGUUUCACCAAUAAGCCAUUUCUCUGUUUCUCAAAAACUUCCCUAAUCAAACAUUGGGGGUUUUGAUGGGAGUUUUGGAAGUAAUAUAAUUUGGAAGUAAAUAAAAUAAAAGCCACAGAUGCCUCUACAAAUAGGUUCAAAAAAACCCCAGGAAACCAAAAUAACAA